rnacentral:rRNA from 1 species
UAUACAUGCAGUCGAGCGGACUUGAUGGAGUGCUUGCACUCCUGAUGGUUAGCGGCGGACGGGUGAGUAACACGUAGGUAACCUGCCCAUAAGACUGGGAUAACCCACGGAAACGUGAGCUAAUACCGGAUAGGCAUUUUCCUCGCAUGAGGGAGAUGAGAAAGGCGGAGCAAUCUGCCACUUAUGGAUGGACCUGCGGCGCAUUAGCUAGUUGGUAAGGUAACGGCUUACCAAGGCGACGAUGCGUAGCCCGACCUGAGAGGGUGAUCGGCCACACUGGGACUGAAGACACGGCCCAGACUCCUACGGGAGGCAGCAGUAGGGAAUCUUCCGCAAUGACGAAAGUCUGACGGAGCAACGCCGCGGAGUNAUGAAGGUUUUCGGAUCGUAAAGNUCUGUUGCCAGAAGAACGCCUAGAGAGUAACUGCUCUAGGUGACGGUACCUGAGAAGAAGCCCCGG